GAAGGAAAAUAUAAACAAUUUUUAAGUUCCAGGACUUCCCCAGAGGGUAGUUUAAGCAUGUAGGUGCCUAUUGCUUUUGCAGAGAUUUUAGUGCCGUUCCCAACUCGCACAACCAUCUCCCCAUUGCGCAGUGACCUGCUCCCUGCUAGUCUCUGCAUCGUAUUACAAAUAUGUUGACUAGCGCCUGAAUCAAAUAUCCAGGAAUUGGAGCUCACUGUAAAAGCACUCUCUAUGACAGAAAUAGUCUCUUCAAAAGUUCAUGUCAUAGGGCUCGCAAUGCGCACCCUGUAUUUCUUUUUCCAACGUUCAUCCUUUCCACAAUGAAAGCAUGUUCCUUUGGAUUUUAUUGUCUUAUUCUUAUGUAACCUUUUCCUUGUUAUUGCAUCCUCACUCCCACUGUCCCUUUUGAAACCUUUUUCAAAUUUACAGCACAUGUCAAUCAUCUCGUUUAAAGUAUG
rnacentral:lncRNA from 1 species